ACGGUCUGUUGUUUCGCAGGUUUAAGACUCCAUUUCGGAGUUAUCGCGUCUGUUGUGAUCGUUAUUGUAGUUGCAAUAGCAGCUGCUGUCUUCAUUAUCCGGAAAUACUGCUGUCUGCAGAGCAAUGUAACAUAUAGAUACUCAGAGCUGCGACAAAUGGAAGAACAAAAUGCAGCCAGAGAAGAGGACAAUGAUUCCGAUGAGGACCUCUUGGAGUGAAUCAUGUAGCAUAAUUUAUCCUUGCCGCUUCUCUUCCUUUUUAAUGAUGUGACAUUAUAUGGCCAAAAGCAUUACAUGGGUCAUUUAAAAACCACCAGGAGUUUCUGAAAUAUUUAUAUCUUUUCAACCAUUUUUCAGCAUGGAUAUAUC